AGUGAACGCUGGCGGUAGGCCUAACACAUGCAAGUCGAACGGCAGCACAGUAAGAGCUUGCUCUUACGGGUGGCGAGUGGCGGACGGGUGAGGAAUACAUCGGAAUCUACCUUUUCGUGGGGGAUAACGUAGGGAAACUUACGCUAAUACCGCAUACGACCUACGGGUGAAAGCAGGGGAUCUUCGGACCUUGCGCGAUUGAAUGAGCCGAUGUCGGAUUAGCUAGUUGGCGGGGUAAAGGCCCACCAAGGCGACGAUCCGUAGCUGGUCUGAGAGGAUGAUCAGCCACACUGGAACUGAGACACGGUCCAGACUCCUACAGGAGGCAGCAGUGGGGAAUAUUGGACAAUGGGCGCAAGCCUGAUCCAGCCAUACCGCGUGGGUGAAGAAGGCCUUCGGGUUGUAAAGCCCUUUUGUUGGGAAAGAAAAGCAGCAGGUUAAUACCCCGCUGUUCUGACGGUACCCAAAGAAUAAGCACCGGCUAACUUCGUG
rnacentral:rRNA from 1 species